GGGAAGGAAGGCCGGCUCUGCGCCCUGCGGGAGGAGCUGCAGGGAGCGGGGCGCGCCGUCUGCCCGGGGCCGGCCGGCGACACUCUCCUGCACUGCGCCGCCCGCCACGGGCGUCGGGACGUCCUGGCCUAUCUGGUCGAGGCCUGGGACAUGGACAUCGAGGCCGCCAACCGAGACUACAAGCGGCCUCUGCACGAAGCUGCUUCCAUGGGCCACCGGGACUGCGUGCGGUACCUGCUGGGUCGCGGAGCCGCGGUCGACUGCCUGAAGAAGGCCGACUGGACUCCUCUGAUGAUGGCUUGCACGAGGAGGAAUCUCGAGGUGAUCCAGGACCUCGUGGAGCAUGGUGCCAAUCCGCUUCUGAAGAACAAAGACGGGUGGAACAGCUUCCACAUCGCCAGCCGAGAAGGCGACCCUGCAGUCCUCCAGUACUUGCUCACCGUUUGCCCAGCUGCCUGGAAGACAGACAGCAAGAUUGGCAGAACUCCUCUGCACACGGCAGCGAUGCAUGGCUGUUUAGAGGCAGUAAAGGUGCUUCUUCAGAGGUGUCAGUAUGAACCAGACUGCAGAGACAGGUGUGGCCUCACCCCCUUUAUGGAUGCGAUUCAGUGUGGGCACAUCGACAUAGCCAGGCUGCUCCUUGAGAAACAUAAGGCUUGCGUUUCCGCCGAGGACUCCCUGGGGGCCCAGGCUGUGCACAGGGCAGCAGUCACCGGGCAGGACGAAGCCAUCCAGUUCUUGGUGUCCGACCUUGGCAUUGAUGUAGACGUGAGGGCAACGUCAACCCACCUCACAGCACUUCAUUAUGCAGCUAAGGAAGGACACGUGAGCACAGUGCAGACGCUCGUUUCCUUGGGCGCCAACCUCAACGCUGAGGAUGACAGAAAGCGAUCAGCCCUGCACCUGGCCUGCGCGGGUCAGCACGCGGCUUGCGUCGAGUUUCUCCUGCGGUCUGGGCUGAGGGACGCCCCAGACGUGACGGGCACUUCGGCUCAGCAGCUCAUACACAGCACGGACGUCCUUCAGUGCUUUGGCCACAACGUGACGGCAUUUCCCAGCAAAGGCGACGAAACGCUGCUAAAUCGUCACCAGGUUCAGUGACAUCGUGUUUGCUGUUAGAAGUGCUGUGGCUCUUCAUCUGGAAGCUUGGCGAUGGUUCUGAGACCAGAAACGUGCCGGCGGCGCUAGCUCGUAGGCCUCAGUCAGCCCAGGGUCCCAGCUUCCCAGACCCUCCGACGGAACGCUGUCGGCCAAGGGCGCCACACACGGCUGCUGCCGCGGAGGUCUCAUUUCCGCUGUGCGGGGACAGUGUGUCUGUGGGGAGGGAUCGAUCCCCCAGUAACCGGUUCAUCAGCAGGGCCCAGUUAUCGGACAUCGGAGCUUGAGCCCCACCCCGGCACCCCCGGCCGUCUGCCUUGGAGUCUCCCCGUCUGCGCACCGGCUCCAGUAGCACCUGCUUUACGUGGCUCAGCAGACCAUCACCCGGUUACAGCGGCUCAGCGGACCGUCACCCGAUCCCUGCCCGCUGGUGCCUGGCCAUAUCGAACCUCAAAGGACCGGUUUGAUUUUGUGUGAGAGGAACUUGCAGGAAUGGGACAAGGGGACCCCAAAUAGGCAGGCGGUGUCAGUGAGGAGGAGAAGCCAGGAGUGCCGGAGUGUUUAUUACAAGAAGGCCUGGGAGGAGCCAGGCCCCGAGGACAGCGGGCGCUCGGCCCUGCCUCCCCUCCACCCGGCCACUGGUCACCCUGCCGCCCCGCGUUCCCCCAGAGGAGUGGAUACUUCCCAACGCUCCGUCACACAGCAGCGGCUUCGCGCCUGCCAGCGGCGCACCCCAGUGAUGCCGUGCAGGCCGCUGUGGUCACAUGGGGACACGCAGCCUGUGAUAGCAGGCCCUCGUCCUAGCCUCUAAGUCACAGUGACACACAAGCACAGCCAAGACUGGUCAGACCCUGAACCAAGACCCACCUCAGCCGGGAGAAGCGCCUUGUGGAAACAAGGAGCGGGAACUCGGGGUGCCUGCCCGCAAACCCCGUGAGCAGGGAGGCCGCCUUCCUCCGGCUGACUACCCUGUAGCCACGAACUGGCACACAGGUUCACAGCAUCGUGCAGCCACGCCCUCUCUGGUCCCAGGACGUGACCGCCACCCACAGAGAUCCCCACUGGUGACAUGGUGCCUUCCUGCUGGGCUUCUUUCCAUGGCCAGCGUCUGGGUGUGGUUUUGAACGUGUGUCCCUCCCCCCCCCAACCCGCCGACCCCCACUCCCCAUCCAUCUUGCCCAGCUACAUCUGGUUGGAAGACCAACAGUCGUUCUCCGAGUGGUUCCUCUCCCCCCCCAGUUGCCGUUCCCUAGAUUCUCUUUGUGUCCCCUCUAGUGUCAGAGCUGACGUCCUCAGGGCAAAUUUCCGCUCAGGAAUGUCACUCAUGUAUGGCCCGGGGAGGGAAAUCGUUGUAUCAGCAAUCCCGUUUCAGUGCGACAGCCUUCGUGAGCUGGUCUUCCCUAGAGCACCCCACUCCGCACCUCACACACCCCGUCACCAGCCAGCGGGCCUUCCUCCCCUCCAGCCUGCUGCCAGCUGCCCCAGACCCGCCGCCACGGUGGACUCUCCGGUCUGAACGCAGACCUCAUCGCCGACUCAUCACCCAUCCUGUGUAGCUUUGUAUUGUUUAACCCUCCACGGGUGGCAUCUAGUCCCUAACUAGGUAGGUGCCUGGCCAAAAUCGAACCUCAAAGGAGGAGUGUGAUUUUAUGUGAGAAGACUGUGUAAGGGACAACAGGAAGUUUGUACAUUAUUUGACCCAGUCUCUUCAUUCUCAGAGAUGAAGGAAAAACCAAGGCCCAGAGUGAGUAGGUGGCUUGGCUCGGAGCGUAUGUUUCAUGCUCUGAUUUACAAGGGUGGGGCCAGGGCUCCUGACAUCCAGGUCAGUAGUUUCCUAGGUCUGCCUUAAGUCACCACCAGCUGGGGGCUUGAAACAGCAGAAGUGUGUUCUUUCACAGUUCUGGGGCUCAGAAGUCUGAAGUCACCAUGUGGCCGGCCACACUCCCUCUAAAGGCUCCAGGGGAGGCUCCUUCCUGCCCCUUCCAGCCUCCCAGGCCCCAGCCCUGCCUUGCCAUGGAGCAGCAUAGUGCCCCUCUUCACAUGGCUUUCCUCCCUGUGCUUCUGAAUGUCACAUCCCACUCUGCCUUUCUCUUACAAGGACACAGGCCAUUGGAUUUAGAGCCCGCACUAAAUCCAGGAUGAUUUCAUCUCCAGAUCCUUAACUUAGUUACACUUACAAAGACCCUUUUGGCAAACAAGGCUACUUACAUGCACGUGUCCCAGUGGUUAGGACGUGAGGCUCUUCGGGGGCCACCACUCGCUCGCUGCGUGCUCCUUGGGUGAAACCCCCAGUCCUCCUGUGGGUGCAGGCUUUGCCAAAUAGGUGCAGGUUACUCUUUUAUUUGGGGGUUUACACCACGCGUCUCCAAAGCCUCUUCCACCUUCUGUGUUUUAAUAUAUGCUAGAACCUUAGAAAAAUAGCAUAGCUGGACCACAGAAUGCUACACGGCUGUUAAAAGAUGAGUUAGCACUGUAUGCGCAGAAAUGAGACAGCACGUGAAGUGAGUGAAGAGCACCUGCUGCUGUCCCCUGUACACUCUUGUCUUUAGACUUAUUUUUAAAGCAAAUUAAUAAAAAUGUAUAAUGUGGGCUUUUGAUGGGUGAAACCUGCAAUGUAGGUUUUCCAACAGCGUAGAAACAUUCGGCUCUAAAGUCAUGUGUCCACGUCACAGGAUUUCCGUCCUGCCAAGCAGGCUAAGCCACAGUCAGGGUUAUUUGGAGCAUUCCAUGAGGGGCGGGGAAGGUUCUAGAGCACACGGAGCACCCAGGUGCUUCCCGCAGCAGGCCAUGUGCCAGGUGACCCUGUGUGCAGCUGCAGCUGUGGGCCCAGAUGCCAGUCUUUGGAGCGGCUCUCCCAAGAGGCACUUGGUGAGCUGAAUGAAGGGUUGCAGCUCCGCUGGGCACGCCCUCAAAUCCAGUCCCGGUCACUUACGCGCCACAUCUGGGGGACUUUUUGGCACUGGGGUGGGCAGAACCCCUGGAGAGCUAACAGCCCCGACAAACCCAUUGGACAGCAGCACGCAGACAGGCAGAGGCAGGGACGGUCUCGGCACAUCCCAGAGGGCGGAAACGCCUCGUCUGUCACGUGUCCAGAUAGCACACAGGCGGAUCCUGCCUUCUCCCAUCAGAGGUUUGGGAAGGUAUCCGAGGCGCCCCGGGAGGAGACGCCUAAGAAAGGGGAGAAGGAAGGCAAGGAGACCGGGGACGAGAAGGGACGAGGAGCGAGACCAGAGGCUGCGCGUCCCCAGUCGGGCACACCGACGGCCCGCCGACCUGGCUCCUAAACCUGUUAUUUUUUUAAAGUGAAAAUGCUCUUUUGCUUUCUUAAAAUGCGAUUCUGUCCCAAAGCAUUUUUUUAAACUUCCGGUUGCUUUUCUUUAGUAAACUUUAUUUUCUGGAGCAGUUUCCGGUUCACUGCAGAAUUGAGCAGGAGGCACAGAGUUCCCACGCGCCUCCCUGCCCCCGCUGUCAGCAUCCGCUCCCCAAUCCCGUUUGUGUGGAUGCCGUGAGUUUUCCCUCGGUGCCCGUGAGCCGGAACCAGGGCCUGUCCGCGGCCCGCCGCCUGCCUCUCUCUCGUUGGUGGAGGGGGCAGCGGCAGGAGGGGUCCAGGAACCCACUACUCCUUGUGGGCGCCUUCGGCCAGUUAGUUCCGUUCCCACCCCAGCCCACUGCCUGGCCUUCCAGGUACCGGUACCCCCGGUCUUUCCGGUCCCCCGGCUUGAAUGUGUUUGCUACCUAAUGCCCUGCACCUCCCUGCAGGCCCUGAGGGUUCCGUGUUCUCUGGCCUGUCAAGUCAGUUAGAUGUGACCACCUGCUUUCUGUCAAAAUUCUGUCACCUUUCAAUGGUCGAUCUUUUGAACUCAUGGGAUUAUAUCCUUUUUUAUUCCUUUAAUGCCAUUUUAACACACUUUGGGGAGGGAGUCAAGUUAAAGGCAUGUGUUCAACCUGCAGAAUGUCUUCUCAAGUUCAAGUCUUUUAUUAUUAUUUCCCCGCUCUCUUCUCCCCACAUGCACCCACUCUACUGAGCGCCAUCACAGUUCAGUUCUGCUCAGGUUUUUAAGCAUGAGUAUAUUUUGAACAAGGUAUAAAUGCACACGUUUAAAAUUUUUACAAUAAUGGCAUUGCACUAGAAACCUCAUUCUAUUUCUCAUUUUCUCAACAACCGUUUUCAGCUUCCUUCACUUUGCUACAUUGUAGUUUAGUUUGCUGCCUGGAGGUCACCCCAGCUCUUUGCUACCACGGAUUAGAAUUUGAUGGACAUUUUAGUACAUUCUAUACACAGGAAAUUAAUUUUCAGUAUGUGCUCAGGAACAGAGAGCUGGGACAAAAGACAUACACACGUCAGAUUUAUUAAAUAUUACCAGAUUUCUUUCAAAAACGGCUACGGCAGUGACAACUACUCAGAGCCCUUGACGCAUUUACUGUGACUCUCCCAAAGGAGGGUGGAACAGGCAGCAGCUCUCAACCUAACAUGGCCAUGGAACUCUGCCUGAAAAGCACCUUGGGCCUUCAGCGUCUCACAGUACACUGGGGACACUGGCGACGAUCACGCGGGACAGGAGGAGCGGCAGCUAUUUGGGGCGAUGGGGAGUCAAUUUUUGUAAUUUUUUUCCAAGGCCGUGAGCAACUGAGAUUCAGUGUCAAAUUGUGAUUCUUCACAAAGUGCCGCAUGAAUGCCAAGACCAGCACUCAGUUCGGAUAGGCAGGGAACCCCACGGCGGCAUAAAAUAUAGUGAUUACCGAAGGUAAAAUGAAAAUGACAAAAUGGGCUAAUCCAAAGUAGGACUCCACUACCGUAACCUUUAAAUUAAUCUGGAAUUAAAGCGUGACUUCUGUGUACACAGGACCCAAUCUGCUUAGCUCACCAGUGCCCAGCCCGGUACCUGGCACAGAGGAGACACAAUAAACAACAGUUGAAGAAAUAAAUGAAAAAAACAUCUGAUGCUUUUGUUUUAAAAGCCUGAUCCUGAUAGUAGAAGAUUUGAAAUUAAAAAUGUAAAGGUAUGCAGACAUCAUAAGUACAUCUCUGAGAAAAACUUCCCUCUAAACCACCUACAAAUAUAGUACAUAGAGUCCGGCUGGAACACCUCACUUCUGCAGUUAAGGAAAUGUGGCUUCUGGAGUGUCCACCCCUCCCACCGGUGCGGACUUCUGGCAGCCCUGUUUCUGUCACAUGACCCAACACCUUGGCUAUAGUUAAUUGGAUCAAGUUGGACUCAGCCCAGGCUGGGCCGAGCAGAUUCUCCCUUCUGGUAAUUUGAUGCUGAGUUAUGAAACCCUGGUCGGUCUGGUCCAGUGGCUCCCUCUGUGAUGAAUUUUGCCCCUCCCCCACCAGGGACAUUGGCAGUGUCUGGAGACGUUUUGAUUGUCACAGCUGGGGCAAGAAAGAGGUUGGGUGUUACUGGCAUCGAGUAGGUGGAGGCCCGGGGUGCUGCUAAACACCCUGCAAUGCACAGGCCCGCCCCACCACGAAGAAUGAUCCGCCUAAGUGUCAGUAGUGCGAGCGUCUGAACAGACCCUGCGACUCAGUUGACUGGAGCUGUCACCCGUCAUCUACCCGCCACAUCCGAGGGAGGCAGGCAGAGUCAGCCUGUAGAGAGUAACAGGGUGUCGCACAGAGAGGAGCUGAGCUCUCUCGUUCCUUGUACCAGUUCCUCCCAGAGGCCCGCCUGCCUACGGUUUUGCCCCUGUAUCCUAAUAUGUCACCCUUUUAUACAUAAGAUAGCCUGGCAUGGCUUGGUCACAGAGUGACUUAAAUUAAUACAAGAGACAUUCAAGUGAAUGAUUUUAAAGUGACCUAAGAAACGUUAAGGCUCAUUUGGCUGGGAUCAUUCUAGUCUCCUAGGAUGGAACAAAUAAAUAAAGCGAAAAGUCCAUUGUCAUUACUUUUCUGUGAUGGCCAUGCUGUUUUCCCAUAGCUUCUCUACAAUUAGGUGCUAGAGUGAGCCGAAGCCUUUUGAAGGGCAGAAGGGUCUAGAGCAUGUCUGCACUGUGCUUCGUGUCUUCUGGGAAUCAGGGCGCCUGGCUCACCGGCUCUGCCACCACACCGAGCCCCGCCCAAGUCACCAGCUCCUCACAUGACAGACAAAGCUACUAAUCAUACUUGCUAAUGAUUUCCGUUUUGCAUAUUAUUUUGUA